GGGCAAUCUGCCCUUCACUCUGGGACAAGCCCUGGAAACGGGGUCUAAUACCGGAUAACACUCUGUCCCGCAUGGGACGGGGUUAAAAGCUCCGGCGGUGAAGGAUGAGCCCGCGGCCUAUCAGCUUGUUGGUGGGGUAAUGGCCUACCAAGGCGACGACGGGUAGCCGGCCUGAGAGGGCGACCGGCCACACUGGGACUGAGACACGGCCCAGACUCCUACGGGAGGCAGCAGUGGGGAAUAUUGCACAAUGGGCGAAAGCCUGAUGCAGCGACGCCGCGUGAGGGAUGACGGCCUUCGGGUUGUAAACCUCUUUCAGCAGGGAAGAAGCGAAAGUGACGGUACCUGCAGAAGAAGCGCCGGCUAACUACGUGCCAGCAGCCGCGGUAAUACGUAGGGCGCAAGCGUUGUCCGGAAUUAUUGGGCGUAAAGAGCUCGUAGGCGGCUUGUCACGUCGGAUGUGAAAGCCCGGGGCUUAACCCCGGGUCUGCAUUCGAUACGGGCUAGCUAGAGUGU
rnacentral:rRNA from 1 species